GGGGGAGGGCUGGUGGGUACACCUGCUAGAAGAGCAGGGUGCUCGGGGGAGGGCUGGCAGGUAUACCUGCUAUAAGGGCUGGGUGCUCGGGGGAGGGCUGGUGGGUACACCUGCUAUAAGGGCUGGGUGCUCGGGGGAGGGCUGGUGGGUAUACCUGCUAUAAGGGCUGGGUGCUCGGGGGAGGGCUGGCAGGUACACCUGCUAGAAGGGCAGGGUGCUCGGGGGAGGGCUGGCGGGUACACCUGCUAUAAGGGCUGGGUGCUCGAGGGAGGGCUGGCAGGUAUACCUGCUAGAAGGGCUGGGCACUGGGUCCCUGGAGCAGAUUUUCCCUUGGCUCAGCUGAGAUGGAUGUCUGACAUCUCCUGGAUUAUUCACCUAUUGAGCUAGGGGCCCUGGUUGUCAGGGCUUCAGUCCUGGCCACCCCAUGUCCCAGGUGUCCUGGGCACCCUGGGCCUCAGCCCAGCCUUGGAGCCCUCCCUCUCCAUUGGGCUGGACUGUCUUGCUCGGGGCUGUCCGGCCUGGCGGGAGACACCGAUGUCCCUGGUCCCUGCGGGAAGCUGGCUGCUGCACACUGACCCGGACACGCAUGUAUUCAGGAGAGGGCAGCUCACGAUAUGUCUCCAAAGUUCAGAGAGCUGGGUAUGGGGUGCUCCCACCCCCCUGCUCCUGCGCCAGGCUCAGUGGCACCUGCAGAAUCCCACUCACCCCAGAGGGAGCCUCGGCCCUACCCUUAGACCGGAAGCUUUGACCGAUGAACCACAUUUACUCCUGGUGCUUCAAACUGUACAACCACUGGGAUCUAGCCCAGCUCUAGGAGGGGCAUGGUAC